rnacentral:lncRNA from 1 species
UUGAUUCUUCUGGUAUCGGUCAGUUUUGAUUAGAGGAAAAAAAACUAUGUAUUUUGGUGUUGAGGUUUUAAAAAACCUUGAGAAAUGAUAUUUAGUAGAAGCGGUCCCUUCUUGUAGCAGGUAUGAUGUGAAUUUUUGUGGCAAGCAGGAAGCAUUCUGUGAUAUAUGGAAAUUCUACUCAUGUUAUAUAGGUUGGAUGUGGCUCAGUUUGUGGCUGAUGCUGGUUCUAAUACCAAGAAUCAUAGCAUCCCACAGGUUAUUUAAUGCUAAGACCUUGAUCGGUUUCUCAUGGAUAAAGAAAAUCAACAAUUAAUGGACCAAUUGGUGGGCCUAGUUUGGUGAACGCCAUCUUUCUUGGUUGUUUCUCAUAACAGGCUAGUUCAAGGCCCAGCUUAAGAGCCGCUCCAAGUAAGUGAAACCUGACUUUCUGAUAACGGGGCUUGAUAUAAAGGGUAGAUUCAUGAGAAAAAGAUGCUAGAACUGUAAACGUGGUAAGGCUCCAUUAUUGCAAAAUCAUUCAUGUUUGGAUUACAAGAUGCAUUUAAUAUGCUAAGUUGGGAUUCAACUUAGACAGAUAUGCAUGAAUAGCCUAAUAAAAAAAAGGCUGAACUUCAUAAAAUAAUCUGAACUUUAUGCCCCAAUGUAACUUAAAACUCAUUCGACUC